ensembl:lncRNA
GGCCGAUGUGAGGGUGUGUCAGAAACGUUCUUAAAAAGUGAGAUAUGCAUGUUAAAUGUCUUUGUGUGUUUUUUAAAUAACAAGAAAUAGCCCCCCUGGCUUCUGCUCCGCGGCUGCUGAGUGACCCCUCAUCUGGGGCUCUCCUCAGCUCUUACUGGGACAGUGGCGCGGCUGCCCCUCUGUUGGUCUUCCUUGGUCUCUUGUGUUCUGAGGGCCUCUGGAUGUCUGGAGUUUUGAUCUCCUCCAUACCUGCUUCAUGCCCUGGAGGACGGAGCUGUGGCCCCCCCACACCCUCUAGCAGAUCAUUACAUGAAGGAACCUUUUAAAUACAAGCGCGCUCACGCUCACAGGUGUACACACGGAUGCUCACACACAAACUACACCCUUUUUGGCUACUACCUCAAAGCACACUGUGCGCUGUCGAUCUUACGUUUAAUAUUUAGUAUUUACUGUUAUAUUCCCAUAUAUCAUCAUGAUGUUGUUUAUUAUGUUGCUCUUUUUUUUUCUUCUGCUUGUUUUCUCUUUUUUCUUUCUCAACAGGUGAUCCAGGUGAUUGAUACAUGUGUUUUUUGUCUGCUUAUUUUGUUGGUUUUUGUUGUUUUCCCUUUAUCACCUUUCCUCUUCCCCGCUGUUUUUCUUUCCCUCUUUCUUUCUCCCCUUUCUUUUCCCCAGUCAAGUCUGUCCUGUAUUUAGCAAAUGAAAAUAAAAUAAAAUAAACAAUAAAAGGUGAAUCAAAUAGACCAUUACAGCAAGGCUGGGAUGGUCCAUUUGGCAAAGUAAAUCCGUUGGGCAGCUUUCUUCGCCUUUAGACAAUAAUUCUGAUGGCAAAGAGCCAAACGGGACAGGCCAAAAUAAUAAAAUAAAAAAGAAAUAUGGUUAAUACAUGGUUGCGAAACAACAUCCACACAACCUCUUUUCCAGGUACACAGACAACAACAACAAGAACUUUAAGCUUUUUAUUGCUAUGAUUUAAAUGGGAAGGUAAACAAUUCAAAAGGAUAAUGGCUGGACUGAAAGUGUGAGAUUGUGAUUCUGAGUGUGACUCUAAGUUUUUUCUCUUUUUUUUUCUAACUCUUUUUUUAUCAAAAAAACGUCCCAUUUUGUUCAUCUCAUUUGACUCUAAUCAAAAUGAGGUAUUAGAAAACAUUUCUUGAACAUAAACUCUUUCUAGAAAAGUCUAAUGAGGCCAUCCAAGCAACGUUUAGGAAGUACACAAGCUGAUGUUGAGGUUUUAUCCUCAAAAUUUGGUUCAACCUUUAUUUCUCAACAAUUUUUCAACCCUGAUGAGAUGUCAAGAAAAGAUCAAGAUGGAAGUUAAUGUCAAAAUGUUUGCUGGCUACGAUUUAGUUGGAUUUAAACGCAAAGUUAGUUUCCACUUUUCUAAGAGUCUAGACAUGUGAUUGGGGUUAUUUACCUGCAUUCAUCAAAGGAUAAGAUAUAAUUCUUCAGUACUCCCUGCAGGUUUAGGGUUUAAGAAAGGAUUGAUAUGACGGCUUACAAAGCAAAAAUGUAU